UGUGCAGUACGUAUAUUCGGCAUGGGCUCCUCAGUUUGCCGCGAGGUUGAAGUUGUCAUCUACCGACAGCAAUUUGAUUGGAGCUGCCGGAAAUUUGGGAAUGUAUGCCAGCGGAAUUCCGGUAGGCCUUCUCAUCGAUUCUAAGGGACCAAGACCUGGCAUGUUGCUGGGGAUUGUGGCUCUUGGGGCGGGCUAUUUUCCAAUGCACCGAGCAUAUGUUUCCGGCAAAGGGUCGUUCGGAGUUCCGGCACUGUGUUUCUUCAUGCUUCUCACAGGAGUAGGAAGCAGCUGUGGAUUUUCUGGGGCGAUCAAAACGGCUGCAUCCAACUUUCCGGACCAUCGCGGUACAUCAACAUCCUUCCCACUAGCUGCUUUUGGGUUGAGUGCCUUUUUCUUUUCAACCCUCUCGGCAUUCGCCUUCUCAGAUAACACGGGUCAAUUUCUAUUGUUAUUGGCUAUUUGCACGCCGGCUAUCCUGUUCGUGUGCUCCAUCUUUGUCCGACUCAUACCACAUUCUGCUCCAUAUACUCCUCUCCCUUCGGACACAAAUCUACACCCUAGUUCAAGCCAGCUGCACAUUCCAAGCUCGCGAGGCAGUCGUUGUAGAGACUCUACAGAAAUAGGUAUGCCACAUGAAACCUCAAAUUCCACAACCCUUGAAGACGCUGCAUCAGGAUCUGCGGGCUGUUCGAAACCUGCUGCACCCAAGUUAGAUCAGCCUGAAACGUCCUCCUUAAUUGGUCGACAUCUUUCCCCAAGAACCUCCGAGGACUCGUUUCGCGAUGAAGACGCCUCCGUCAGUCCAGGCCGUGACUCACUAUAUGCAGAUGUUCGUGGCUGGUCGAUGAUUCCCACUGUGGAGUUUUGGCAGCUGUUUGUACUUCUAGGGUUGUUUACGGGUAUUGGAUUGAUGACAAUAAACAAUAUUGGGAACAACGCGAAAGCGCUGUGGAAGCACUAUGACGAUAGUGCGGAUUCCGAAUUCAUCCAAAAACAACAGAUGAUGUAUGUAUCUGUCUUAUCGAUACUUAGUUGCGUGGGACGCCUUUUGAGCGGCAUUGGCUCCGAUAUCCUAGUAAAAAACCUCCAUAUGUCGCGAUUCUGGUGCGUAUUCACAUCGGCGGUUGCUUUCUGCUUGGCACAGCUUGCCGGGUUCAUGAUUUCGGAUCCACACCUGCUCGUUGCCCUCUCGGGACUGACUGGACUCGCCUACGGCUUCCGAUCUUGUUUUUCGGCGAAUCAAGCCAUUCCCUCCAAUAUCCAAAGUGCCACGACGGCGGCAAAUUCUAUGCUAUGCGGCGCGAAUAUAAGAAUAAUGUCCUCAUCGCCUUCCAGACCAACCAACCCCUUGCUUUCCGUUAUAUUCUUAUUUCCACCCCCACCCAUACCCACACUACUUACAUAUAAAAGUAUGUCCCUUUUUGUUUCUAGUUGCAAGUGGACUCAGUUAUAAUUUCCCUACCGAACCGAGUC
rnacentral:sRNA from 1 species